CUAAACUUUUUACACAACAAGCAAGCAUGACUUAAGUUAUUCAUUCUUGUUAAAUUAAGCCGUUUAACAAAUGCAUAUUUACAAAAGAUAUCAAAUUUUGUGAAUGUUUUGAGAAAAGAAGACUAUUAAAUAUAUUGUUAAGAGUUUUAUUUUAUUUUAUUUUAAAUUAAUCAUAUUUUGAAAUAUUAUUAACAUUGUUUUAAGGUUCAUUGGGGUUACUUUCAUCUUUUCAAAAUGUUACUACAACAAUUUAGUUACAUAUGCAAUUUCCACUCUAUUGUUCCAAUGUACAUUAGAAAGCUUACAUUCCAGGAAAAGGAAAAAAAAAGAAAAAAAAGAAAAAAGAACUUUCAUUGUUUAUACAUUAUUAAAGCUGAAUGUGCAACAACAAAUUACAGUGUAAUUAAAAGCAUCAAAAUCGAGUUUUGUUGAAGAGUAAAUCAUGUAAUGUUGAAUUUUUAUCUUAUAAUAGGAGCACAAUUAUUUUAUCUAUAAAUAAAUCCAAUCAAGUUCUACAAUAAAUGAAUUAUUGAUGCUUAAAAGCUAUUAAAACCUUCUCACACUUCGAUGUUAGCCUAACCAUGCCAAUGAAAGAUUCAACAUAUUUAAAUGUUAUUCAAAUGUUAUUCAAAUUCUGAAUUCUAAUUAAGUUACAUUUGUAACUAUCUUUACAAAAUAACCAAUUGGGGUUCCUGUCUUUUUCUUUUCCUUUCUUUUUUUAGAGCAUUGAAGUGUAUGAAAUAUUCUACAAAUUUUGGAUUAAAUGAUAUGUAAAUUUAAUACACACAUUUAUUCAUAUUUAUUUUUUUAAAAAAAACCUAAAAAAUCUAAUCAGUGCAAUGAGUUUCAGUUGUGAUACUUUAUCAAACAAACAAGCCAAUCGUUAAAUUCAACUGUACCUUCAGCAAUGACUCCAAUUAGGCCAAGCAUCAUGAAUAGGCGCAUAACUGCAACCUCAUUAAAAAACACACAAAAUGAAGAUAAGGAAUUCAAAGACCAACUUCGAGUGUUGUAUGGCAAACAAGAACGGUUUGCGAAGAAAAGGGAACAUAUCCAGAAAACUGUGUCUCCCAAGCGGGAUGAUGUAAUUAAUAGUCGACAAGAAAUGCGAAAUGCAAUGGAAGACCAAUUGAACCAAAAAUGCAGAACCAACAAAUUGCUUCAAAAAGAGGAGCAAAACAAAGCACACUAUGAAGUUUACUACAACAAGUAUUGUGGACCUCAUAAUCUGGAGGCAACACACAAUCAAAUUUACAAGAAAAAAGAAUAUCUGAAGCAACUAAUGGAAGAAAAUCGACAAGCUACA